UACGUAGGGGGCAAGCGUUGUCCGGAUUUAUUGGGCGUAAAGAGCGUGUAGGCGGCCUGGAAGGUCAGCUGUGAAAACUCGAGGCUCAACCUCGAGACGUCGGUUGAAACCACCUGGCUAGAGUCCGGAAGAGGAGAGUGGAAUUCCCGGUGUAGCGGUGAAAUGCGCAGAUAUCGGGAAGAACACCCGUGGCGAAGGCGGCUCUCUGGGACGGUACUGACGCAUGAGACG
rnacentral:rRNA from 1 species